GAUGACAUCCCAAUCAAUCAAAAUUCAAAAAUAUUUUCUCUUAUUCGUACUUUCAAAGGUUGAAGAUUUAUCAUUUCAAUCUCAUUCUCGAACUUUUGAUAUUUUAAUUCUCGAUACAACUUCAUCAUUAAGUCAUUUCAUAAAAAUCAAUAUCACCAUUGUUGAUUGAAUCAAUAUCAUUAUUUCUAGUCAUCGAAAUUUUCUUACUCAAACCCUCAAACUCUUAAAU
rnacentral:lncRNA from 1 species